rnacentral:rRNA from 1 species
CGGCGGAACACGUGAAAUUCCGUCGGAAUCCGGGAGGACCAUCUCCCAAGGCUAAAUACUCCCUAGUGACCGAUAGUGAACCAGUACCGUGAGGGAAAGGUGAAAAGCACCCCGGAAGGGGAGUGAAACAGUUCCUGAAACCGUGUGCCUACAAGUAGUUAGAGCCCGUUAAUGGGUGAUAGCGUGCCUUUUGUAGAAUGAACCGGCGAGUUACGAUUUGUUGCAAGGUUAAGCGGAAAAAGCGGAGCCGUAGCGAAAGCGAGUCUGAAUAGGGCGCAUAAGUAACAGGUCGUAGACCCGAAACCAGGUGAUCUACCCAUGUCCAGGAUGAAGGUAAGGUAAUACUUACUGGAGGUCCGAACCCACGCACGUUGAAAAGUGCGGGGAUGAGGUGUGGGUAGCGGAGAAAUUCCAAUCGAACUUGGAGAUAGCUGGUUCUCUCCGAAAUAG